rnacentral:rRNA from 1 species
AUUGAACGCUGGCGGCAGGCCUAACACAUGCAAGUCGAGCGGCACUGGGGACGGGUGAUUGCUACCGAGUGAUCUGCCUGGUAGUGGGGGAUACCUUUCGGCAAGGUACGCUAUUACCGCAUGCUAUCAGACGAGCCUAGGUCGGAUUAGCUAGUUGGUGCGGUAAUGCCUCACCAAGGCAACGAUCAGUACCUGGUCUGAGAGGAUGAUCAGUCACACUGGAACUGAGACACGGCCCAGACUCCUACGGGAGGCAGCAGUAGGGAAUAUUGGACAAUGGGCGAAAGCCUGAUCCAGCCAAGGCGCGUGUGUGAAGAAGGUCUUCGGAUCGUAAAGCACUGUAAGUAGGGAGGCGGUAUCGACAGAAAAAGCAACGGCUAACUCCGUGCCAGCAGCCGCGGUAAUAC